rnacentral:rRNA from 1 species
UAGAGUAUGGGAGAGGAUGGUAGAAUUCCAGGUGUAGCGGUGAAAUGCGUAGAGAUCUGGAGGAAUACCGAUGNCGAAGNCANCCAUCUGGCCUAAUACUGACGCUGAGGUNCGAAAGCAUGGGGANCANACAGGAUUAGAUACCCUGGUAGUCCAUGCCGUAAACGAUGUCUACUANCCGUUGGGGCCUUUGAGGCUUUAGUGGCGCAGCUAACGCGAUAAGUAGACCGCCUGGGGAGUACGGUCGCAAGACUAAAACUCAAAUGAAUUGACGGGGGCCCGCACAAGCGGUGGAGCAUGUGGUUUAAUUCGAUGCAACGCGAAGAACCUUACCUGGUCUUGACAUAGUAAGAACUUUCCAGAGAUGGAUUGGUGCCUUCGGGAACUUACAUACAGGUGCUGCAUGNCUGUCGUCAGCUCGUGUCGUGAGAUGUUGGGUUAAGUCCCGCAACGAGCGCAACCCUUUUCCUUAUUUGCCAGCACUUCGGGUGGGAACUUUAAGGAUACUGCCAGUGACAAACUGGAGGAAGGCGGGGACGACGUCAAGUCAUCAUGGCCCUUACGACCAGGGCUACACACGUGCUACAAUGGUCGGUACAAAGGGUUGCUACCUAGCGAUAGGAUGCUAAUCUCACAAAGCCGAUCGUAGUCCGGAUUGGAGUCUGCAACUCGACUCCAUGAAGUCGGAAUCGCUAGUAAUCGCGGAUCAGAAUGCCGCGGUGAAUAC